AGGUGCACAACGCUACCAGGUGCACAACGCUACCAGGAGCAUAACGCUACCAGCAACACAACGCUACCAGGAGCACAACGCUACCAGGAGCACAACGCUACCAGGUGCACAACGCUACCAGGUGCACAACGCUACCAGGAGCACAACGCUACCAGGAACACAACCCUUUAUUUGUCUCUUAAUUUAUUAAUUAAGGCUUUUGAAAAGUUAAAUGAAAGGGCUAUUUCAGUGCCUGGAUCGAGGUGAAAAAAUAUAUUAAAUUGGAAGAAACUAUCGUGCAUAAUAUGAGAAUUUGUUUCCCAUUAAAUCAUAGUUUAAUCAUGAGGCAACACCCUCACUAAGCAUCCUCACUAAAUACAUUUGACAUUUAGCAGAAGCUCUUAUCCAGAGCGACCUACAGUGCAUUCAUCUUAAGAUAGCUAGGUAAGACAACCACAUAACACAGCAACUACACAACACAGCAACUACACAACACAGCAACUACACAACACAGCAACUACACAACACAGCAACUAUAUAACACAGCAACCACACAACACAGUCGAAGUACAUAACACAGCAACCACACAACACAGCAACUACACAACACAGCAACCACAUAACACAGCAACUACAUAACACAGCAACUACAUAACACAGCAACUAUAUAACACAGCAACUACAUAACACAGCAACUACAUAACACAGCAACUACAUAACACAGCAACUACACAACACAGUAACCACAUAACACAGCAACUAUAUAACACAGCAACUACAUAACACAGCAACUACAUAACACAGCAACCACAUAACACAGCAACCACAUAACACAGCAACCACAUAACACAGAAACCACAUAACACAGCAACUAUAUAACACAGCAACUACAUAACACAGCAACUACAUAACACAGCAACCACAUAACACAGCAACUAUAUAACACAGCAACUACAUAACACAGCAACUACAUAACACAGCAAAUACACAACCCAGUUACAACCCAAAUACACAACCCACAACCCACAACCCAGGGGAAGAUGGACAGGGACUGUUGUCAUAGCUUCAGGGGGGAAGAUGGACAGGGACCCUGUUGUCAUAGCUUCAGGGGGGAGAUGAACAGGGACUCUGUUGUCAUAGCAUCAGGG
ensembl:lncRNA